rnacentral:rRNA from 1 species
GAUGAACGCUGGCGGCGUGCCUAAUACAUGCAAGUCGAGCGAACAGAUGAGGAGCUUGCUCCUCUGACGUUAGCGGCGGACGGGUAAGUAACACGUGGAUAACCUACCUAUAAGACUGGGAUAACUUCGGGAAACCGGAGCUAAUACCGGAUAAUAUAUUGAACCGCAUGGUUCAAUAGUGAAAGACGGUUUUGCUGUCACUUAUAGAUGGAUCCGCGCCGCAUUAGCUAGUUGGUAAGGUAACGGCUUACCAAGGCAACGAUGCGUAGCCGACCUGAGAGGGUGAUCGGCCACACUGGAACUGAGACACGGUCCAGACUCCUACGGGAGGCAGCAGUAGGGAAUCUUCCGCAAUGGGCGAAAGCCUGACGGAGCAACGCCGCGUGAGUGAUGAAGGUCUUCGGAUCGUAAAACUCUGUUAUUGGGGAAGAACAAAUGUGUAAGUAACUAUGCACGUCUUGACGGUACCUAAUCAGAAAGCCACGGCUAACUACGUG